GAUGAACGCUAGCGGGAGGCUUAACACAUGCAAGUCGAGGGGUAACAUGGGGUAGCAAUACUCUGAUGACGACCGGCGUACGGGUGAGUAACACGUAUGCAACCUACCCUGUACAGGGGGAUAGCCCGGAGAAAUUCGGAUUAAUACCCCAUGGAAAUAUUGAGAGGCAUCUUGAGAUAUUUAAAGUUCCGGCGGUACGGGAUGGGCAUGCGUAACAUUAGCUAGUUGGUAAGGUAACGGCUUACCAAGGCUUUGAUGUUUAGGGGUCCUGAGAGGGUGGUCCCCCACACUGGUACUGAGACACGGACCAGACUCCUACGGGUGGCAG
rnacentral:rRNA from 1 species